CCAAGAUCAACAAAAGCAAGUCAGUAAGAAUGUAACCAACACAGUGAAUAGAUAGUAGCGCUAGAACUCAGCCAUUAGACCCUUUGUUGCUGCUCAGUACCUGCCUCCACGGGUGGGCAAAACCUCACACAUCAGAGACAAAGGACUUGCCAGAAUUCUGGGGACCUUCAGGCUCUGGGAGAAUGGUCAUUUCUUUCUCAGUAAAGGUCCAGGAUGUUCACUCUUGGAACUUGGCCACCAUACUGUGAAGAAUCCAACAGCCUACUCCCCCGCCACCCUCAGCCCUAGCUGAGAUCCCAGCUGGCAGCCACCACUGACUUGUCAUGUGUGAAUGAACCAUCUUGGAAGUGGAUCCUGCAGCUCCUGGUCAAGCUGCCCCAGCUGAUACCAUGUAGAGCAGAUUCAAAUGCCCCUGCCAAGGCCUGACUACAUUUCAGACUUUUGAGCAAAAUAAAUGGUUGAUAUCA